AACAGGCUGAUACCGCCCAAGAGUUCAUAUCGACGGCGGUGUUUGGCACCUCGAUGUCGGCUCAUCACAUCCUGGGGCUGAAGCCGGUCCCAAGGGUAUGGCUGUUCGCCAUUUAAAGUGGUACGCGAGCUGGGUUUAGAACGUCGUGAGACAGUUCGGUCCCUAUCUGCCGUGGACGUUUGAGAUUUGAGAGGGGCUGCUCCUAGUACGAGAGGACCGGAGUGGACGAACCUCUGGUGUUCCGGUUGUCACGCCAGUGGCAUUGCCGGGUAGCUAUGUUCGGAAAAGAUAACCGCUGAAAGCAUCUAAGCGGGAAACUUGCCUCAAGAUGAGAUCUCACUGGGAACUUGAUUCCCCUGAAGGGCCGUCGAAGACUACGACGUUGAUAGGCUGGGUGUGUAAGCGUUGUGAGGCGUUGAGCUAACCAGUACUAAUUGCCCGUGAGGCUUGACCAUAUAACACCCAAACA
rnacentral:rRNA from 1 species